GAUGAAGAACGCAGCAAAAUGCGAUAAGUAAUGUGAAUUGCAGAAUUCAGUGAAUCAUCGAAUCUUUGAACGCACAUUGCGCCCGCCAGUAUUCUGGCGGGCAUGCCUGUUCGAGCGUCAUUUCAACCCUCAAGCACAGCUUGGUGUUGGGACUCGCGUUAAUUCGCGUUCCCCAAAUUGAUUGGCGGUCACGUCGAGCUUCCAUAGCGUAGUAGUAAAACCCUCGUUACUGGUAAUCGUCGCGGCCACGCCGUUAAACCCCAACUUCUGAAUGUUGACCUCGGAUCAGGUAGGAAUACCCGCUGAACUUGAGCAUAUCAAUAAGCGGAGGA
rnacentral:misc_RNA from 1 species